CCUAGUGGAGCUAAUGGUUAAGUGCUUGACUGCUAACCAAAAGGUUGGUGGUUUGAACCCAUCCAGUGGCU
rnacentral:tRNA from 1 species